UUAGUUCAUUUAGUGAGUUGAAAUGUAAUUUUAUUUGGUGUGUUUAAAUGUGUUUUGAAUAAAGUACUAAAUUCAAUAAAUUGGAAACAACAUAAAGUACUAAAUUCAAUAAAUUACCAAAUGAAAUAAAUAUACUUUUAGAGAAAAAUAAAGUACUAAAUUCAAUAAAUUGGAAACAACAUAAAGUACUCUAUUCAAUGAAUAAGAAAUUACAACCCGAAUUGAUUGGAAAAUUAUGGGUUCGUGAAUGGAUAACCAUCACCUAACCAAUUUGUGGUGCUAGGAUGAUCUUCUCUUGUCGUGCUAGGAUGAUCUUCUCUUGUCGU
rnacentral:lncRNA from 1 species